CUAUUCUGGGAGGAGACUAGCCCCACCCUACAGUGAGGUCACAGCGCCCACCCCCUCCUAUCCUCUAUUUCUGUAAGUUCUUAGUCUCUGGAGAAGGAGGAGAUCACCCCAUCUCCUUGUUCCUUUGAUUGUGGGGGGGAGGUGAGCAGCUUAAGGUCUGCCUGUCCCUCACCCUCUCCCAUUCCCCUCACCCUCAACACCCCAUCCUCCAGACUGAGCGAUCCUGCGGGUCCUGCUAAUGCCUAAAUGGCUGGGUGUGAGGGCAUCCCAUGUGUCUCUCCCUCUCCCCAUGCUCAAGAGCCAUACUAUGUAACAAAUUGCAUUUAUUGUUUUGGGGAGGAAAAGAAAAGUGAGCAGAACUGAUUGAAGCAUUCAAGAAAUGGUGUGCAAUGUGUAACGCCUGUGGACCUCUCGCCUCCUGGAUGAGGGCUAUUUAAGUAUUCUAUUUCCUCUCCUGUUUACAUGGGCAUUUUAUAUUUUUUGCCCUGAUGCAAAGUGGACGAAGGUUGUCAUCCAAGAGAUGACAGUGAGAGCACCCCUGAGGGGACAGGGGCUCAUUGGCUCAUUCCUUGGCAACCCCACUCCCUAGCUGCACAAAC